rnacentral:rRNA from 1 species
UCGGGAAUUUUGCUCAAUGGGGGAAACCCUGAAGCAGCAACGCCGCGUGAGGGAUGAAGGCCUUCGGGUUGUAAACCUCUUUUACCAGGGACGAUAAUGACGGUACCUGGAGAAUAAGCCACGGCUAACUACGUGCCAGCAGCCGCGGUAAUACGUAGGUGGCAAGCGUUGUCCGGAUUUACUGGGCGUAAAGAGCGCGCAGGCGGCCAGGUAAGUCGAAUGUGAAAGCCCCCGGCUCAACUGGGGAAGGUCGUUCGAUACUGCUUGGCUCGAAGAUAGGAGAGGGAAGUGGAAUUUCAGGUGUAGUGGUGAAAUGCGUAGAUAUCUGAAGGAACACCAGUGGCGAAGGCGACUUUCUGGCCUAUUCUUGACGCUGAGGCGCGAAAGCUAGGGGAGCGAACGGGAUUAGAUACCCCCGUAGUCC